UGAAUUAUUGGGAAGGGUGGGGAGUUCUGGUACUUUUAGAUUUUCCAGUAGUUUUGAGAAAUCUAGGGACUUGUCUAGAAGUAGUCACAAUUUGAGGGCUUCGACUGGUCGAAAAGACAGAAGCUUGGAGUUCAAUGAUUUGAGCCAACCAGAUUGGGCCUCGAAUGAGUCUAUUUUGAGUCUUGAUUAUCCGUCUUCUCAUGUUUCUUCUUCACGUAUAAUGAUUUUAGCCAACCAGAUUGGGCCUCGAAUGAGUCAGUUUUGAGUCUUGAUUAUCCGUCUUCUCGUGUUUCUUCUUCACGUAAAUAUGGAGAUAGCUUUAAUGAAACUAGCUGUGAUGUUAAACG
rnacentral:lncRNA from 1 species